rnacentral:rRNA from 1 species
UACAGAGGGGGCAUGCGUUGUUCGGAAUUACUGGGCGUAAAGGGCGCGUAGGCGGCCUGCUAAGUCGAACGUGAAAUCCCCCGAGCUCAACUCGGGAACUGCGUCCGAUACUGACAGGCUUGAAUCCGGGAGAGGGAUGCGGAAUUCCAGGUGUAGCGGUGAAAUGCGUAGAUAUCUGGAGGAACACCGAUGGCGAAGGCGGGUCUCUGGGCCGAUACUGACGCUGAGGAGCGAAAGCGUGGGGAGCGAACAGG